CAACUCACCUGCCGAAUCAA
rnacentral:snRNA from 1 species